UAAAUACGUCAGAAUAUUAAUAUCGAGUAUCUGUUUGUAGGGAAACAGCUGGCAACUUUUGAGACCGAGUUAGCAUGAGAGACUUUAUGUCUAAACCACCCCCCACCCUCUGCUUAUUCUCGCCGUGCGCUUUGGAGAAACGCUUAGACCUGCACGUAGGCAAGCUAAUGAGUAACCAGUCAGCAACCAGUAGAGAGAAUGACUUGUUAGCAGAAGAUUUCAGGCCUCUGCCCAAACUCUUGCUUCUCUCCCUCAGAAGAAAACAACUAUGUUUUCUUAGAUUCCUCAGGAAUGUCACAUUCAGCAGAUCCAAAACUUUUGUCUACAGAGAGGCGCCCGGCGGUCUGCGGUCAUCCAAUACCUGGCACUCCUGAGUUCCCUCCCCGACCCCGUUGGCCUUAUAUAACUCAUUUCCAAAUCAGUUCCCCUCGCAGAUGGUUUUUUAGCAUAGUCCACCAUCUUUCAGUUAGCUAGCUCAUUGCUUAAGUGAAAUUUUCUCUCUCCACCGCCUUGCCUCUUGACAGAUUGGCUUUUGUCUUGCGGAGAGCAGGUUUCUUCCCUGGAGCCUCCAUGUCGACCAGGAUCUUGACCUGAAGGAAGAGGAUUCUGUACCUCUCCUAUCUCUGAACAGACAUAAUUGCCUUUUUUAAAAAAUGGCGUUUUUAAAUAGCAUGAAAAAAAUGGCAAUACCUCGACAAGGUCAAGUGACCCUAGGGACAGCCACAAGUUGGUGACACAAGAGUGUUGGUGGGCCUGGCGUAAGGAAGGGACUUUCAGCCAAAGCAAGGAGGGCGUGUGCUGCAUCAGAGCAGAGAGAAGCAGAACCAUGAUGGGGCAGGAGGGGAAUGGCACAGAACAGUAUCAGUGUAGAAGCAGUGGCCUGAGGCUCUGAAGACAGCACAGCAGCACUCAAUGGGCCACCGUGCGCAGAGCCCCUGCUGUAAUAAAAAUAAUGGCUACUGUUUACUGACGUCUUCCUAGUGCCCAUCCUUGUGUUUUUUCCUGUCUGAAUUCCUCACCACCCUCUUUGAGUGAAGAAGUUAAAUCCUCUUUGCAGACAGGAGGAGACUAUGCCUCAGAAAGGCUAAGUGAUUUUUCCAGAGUCACAGAGAUGGUUAGUUGCAGCACUGGGAUUUUCAAGAAGGUGCGCCAGCUUCGUGGGCCCAGGAUCCUGUGCAGUCACCAGGUCUAACGCUCUGCAGUCGCCAUCUUGAAAUCUUUAAUGAUUUUUGAACAAGGUUGCCUUGCACUGGGUCCCACAAAUGAUGCUGCUGGUCCUGUCUGGCUGGCAGGAGAAGGCUGGAAGAUGUCCGGUGGCACCAGCAGCUGCAGAAGCUCCUCCUACAGAGAUGAACGUGUCAACGACAACCAGUGCAGGGGCUUUUUCAAGUGUUGCGAGGUCCUGUGUAGGAGGAAAUGUGUUUAUCCCACAGCAGACAGAUUGAUGCCAGUGUGAUGAAGCUGAGGAUUCCUGGUGUCCAGGGAGUCCACUUCCCACACAAGCCUGAGGUAUCCGCAGUCCCCGCUGAAGCCUUGGUGCUGCCACGGAUGCUUCCUCUGUGCCCGGUCCUUUGUGUAUUCCUGGCACCCAGAAAAGGGCUGGGCACGGAAAAUGUGUUUUGACCAGAGAACAAAUAAAAGCACACGCUUCUGUCGGCAUACCUGGCGUCUGUGAUUCACAGAGUCUCGCCUGGUGGCUGGGAGUGGGUGGGGAGCGUGGAGACUCUCCCACAGCAUGAAUCCUCACACUCAUGGACAUGGUUUUUGUCUAAGCUAUAGAUCUAGAAUUCAAAUUGCUUCUAGGUUUUUCCUUCAGGCAAGGCUAAGUUGUUCUUGUAGAAAAAACCGAGGAACUCUGCCAAAUAGAUGGACCAAGUUACCCUCUUACCUGCAGUGUAUAUGGGUCUCUGUUUCCCUGUAACUUAAUCAAUAAUGUGUUUCUGACUUUAAAAUCCUUCUCAAGCCGGU
rnacentral:lncRNA from 1 species